rnacentral:lncRNA from 1 species
GCCAGCCGCUCCUCACAGCUCCUGUGAGUGCUUGUCUCCGUGGCAGCUCCUCUCCAGGCUGUCAUCUUCCUUCAUGCAGAGAGACCCAGACCUGAAAAAAAAAAAUGCUCAAUGGUCAGAUUUGCCUGUGGUGAAGUGUGAUGUUUGAGCUGUCUUGCUUGCCAUCUGGAGCCACACAGCAAGGCCUGGACCCAGCAACAGCCAGCAGUCUUUCUCUGAACCCAACACUGGUCACAUCCAUGGAUUUUGGAAGUUCAAACUACAGCAACAGCUAAAGAAGACUAAGAUAGCUAUUGUGUGCUUCAAUGUACUGCUGUGAAAUUCCUCUGCACAACACCUUGGAAGUUACAUGGAGAAGACACAGAAUCCAAAUUCCUGAAUCACUGGAGGAAAGCUGCUGGGUGAUCACCUAUCUGACAUUUCCAGUGAGACUUGAGGUCUAGCUAUGGUGUCAGUAAGUAUUUCCUUAACAAGCCCAACACUUUGGGCCAGUUUCUACAAAGUCCUUGCAGUCUAGAUAUACAUCACUG